rnacentral:rRNA from 1 species
AGGCAGCAGUGAGGAUAUUGGUCAAUGGACGCGAGUCUGAACCAGCCAAGUAGCGUGAAGGAUGACUGCCCUAUGGGUUGUAAACUUCUUUUAUAUGGGAAUAAAGUGGUCCACGUGUGGACUUUUGUAUGUACCAUAUGAAUAAGGAUCGGCUAACUCCGUGCCAGCAGCCGCGGUAAUACGGAGGAUCCGAGCGUUAUCCGGAUUUAUUGGGUUUAAAGGGAGCGUAGRYGGAUKKUUAAGUCAGUUGUGAAAGUUUGCGGCUCAACCGUAAAAUUGCAGUUGAUACUGGMWRUCUUGAGUGCAGUWGAGGYRGGCGGAAUUCGUGGUGUAGCGGUGAAAUGCUUAGAUAUCACGA